GACUCUCGGCAACGGAUAUCUCGGCUCUCGCAUCGAUGAAGAACGUAGCGAAAUGCGAUACCUGGUGUGAAUUGCAGAAUCCCGCGAACCAUCGAGUCUUUGAACGCAAGUUGCGCCCGAGGCCACUCGGCCGAGGGCACGCCUGCCUGGGCGUCA
rfam:Triticum aestivum genome assembly, contig: Triticum_aestivum_CS42_TGACv1_scaffold_021595_1AS